GGGGGUAUAGCUCAGUAGGGAGAGCGCUUGCGUAGCAUGCAAGAGGCCACUGGUUCGAUUCCGGUUACCUCCACCA
rnacentral:tRNA from 1 species